rnacentral:rRNA from 1 species
AUCCUGGCUCAGGACGAACGCUGGCGGCGUGCUUAACACAUGCAAGUCGAACGGAAAGGCCCUGCUUUUGUGGGGUGCUCGAGUGGCGAACGGGUGAGUAACACGUGAGUAACCUGCCCUUGACUUUGGGAUAACUUCAGGAAACUGGGGCUAAUACCGGAUAGGAGCUCCUGCUGCAUGGUGGGGGUUGGAAAGUUUCGGCGGUUGGGGAUGGACUCGCGGCUUAUCAGCUUGUUGGUGGGGUAGUGGCUUACCAAGGCUUUGACGGGUAGCCGGCCUGAGAGGGUGACCGGCCACAUUGGGACUGAGAUACGGCCCAGACUCCUACGGGAGGCAGCAGUGGGAAUAUUGCACAAUGGGCGGAAGCCUGAUGCAGCAACGCCGCGUGCGGGAUGACGGCCUUCGGGUUGUAAACCGCUUUCGCCUGUGACGAAGCGUGAGUGACGGUAAUGGGUAAAGAAGCACCGGCUAACUACGUGCCAGCAGCCGCGGUGAUACGUAGGGUGCGAGCGUUGUCCGGAUUUAUUGGGCGUAAAGGGCUCGUAGGUGGUUGAUCGCGUCGGAAGUGUAAUCUUGGGGCUUAACCCUGAGCGUGCUUUCGAUACGGGUUGACUUGAGGAAGGUAGGGGAGAAUGGAAUUCCUGGUGGAGCGGUGGAAUGCGCAGAUAUCAGGAGGAACACCAGUGGCGAAGGCGGUUCUCUGGGCCUUUCCUGACGCUGAGGAGCGAAAGCGUGGGGAGCGAACAGGCUUAGAUACCCUGGUAGUCCACGCUGUAAACGGUGGGUACUAGGUGUGGGGUCCAUUCCACGGGUUCCGUGCCGUAGCUAACGCUUUAAGUACCCCGCCUGGGGAGUACGGCCGCAAGGCUAAAACUCAAAGGAAUUGACGGGGCCCCGCACAAGCGGCGGAGCAUGCGGAUUAAUUCGAUGCAACGCGUAGAACCUUACCUGGGUUUGACAUGGAUCGGGAGUGCUCAGAGAUGGGUGUGCCUCUUUUGGGGUCGGUUCACAGGUGGUGCAUGGCUGUCGUCAGCUCGUGUCGUGAGAUGUUGGGUUAAGUCCCGCAACGAGCGCAACCCUUGUUUCUAGUUAGUAUUCUAGAAAGACUGCCGAUUAUAAAUCGGAGGAAGGUGAGGAUGACGUCAAGUCAUCAUGCCCCUUACGUCCUGGGCUACACACGUGCUACAAUGGAUACGACAAAAAGUUGCCAAUCUGCGAAGAUGAGCUAAUCUCUAAACGUAUCCCUAGUUCAGAUUGUAGGCUGCAACUCGCCUACAUGAAGGUGGAAUCGCUAGUAAUCGCAGGUCAGCUAUACUGCGGUGAAUCCGUUCCCGGGCCUUGUACACACCGCCCGUCACACCAUGGGAGCUGGUUAUACCCGAAGCUAUUAUCCUAACCUUUGGAGGGAGGUAUCGAAGGUAGAAUUGGUGACUGGGGUGAAGUCGGAACAAGAGAUCGG